GCCAGACUCCUACGGGAGGCAGCAGUGGGGAAUAUUGCACAAUGGGGGAAACCCUGAUGCAGCGACGCCGCGUGAGUGAAGAAGUAUUUCGGUAUGUAAAGCUCUAUCAGCAGGGAAGAAAAUGACGGUACCUGAUUAAGAAGCCCCGGCUAACUACGUGCCAGCAGCCGCGGUAAUACGUAGGGGGCAAGCGUUAUCCGGAUUUACUGGGUGUAAAGGGAGCGUAGACGGUGAUGCAAGUCAGAAGUGAAAGCCCGGGGCUCAACUCCGGGACUGCUUUUGAAACUGUGUGACUGGAGUGCAGGAGAGGUAAGCGGAAUUCCUGGUGUAGCGGUGAAAUGCGUAGAUAUUAGGAGGAACACCAGUGGCGAAGGCGGCUUACUGGACUGUAACUGACGUUGAGGCUCGAAAGCGUGGGGAGCAAACAGGAUUAGAUACCCUCGUA
rnacentral:rRNA from 1 species